rnacentral:rRNA from 1 species
AACGAACGCUGGCGGCAUGCCUAACACAUGCAAGUCGAACGAGACCUUCGGGUCUAGUGGCGCACGGGUGCGUAACGCGUGGGAACCUGCACUUAGGUUCGGAAUAACUCACCGAAAGGGGUGCUAAUACCGGAUAAUGUCUUAGGACCAACGAUUUAUCGCCUUUGGAUGGGCCCGUGUUGGAUUAGCUAGUUGGUAGGGUAAAAGCCUACCAAGGCGACGAUCCAUAGCUGGUCUGAGAGGAUGAUCAGCCACACUGGGACUGAGACACGGCCCAGACUCCUACGGGAGGCAGCAGUGGGGAAUAUUGGACAAUGGGCGAAAGCCUGAUCCAGCAAUGCCGCGUGAGUGAUGAAGGCCUUAGGGUUGUAAAGCUCUUUUACCCGGGAUGAUAAUGACAGUACCGGGAGAAUAAGCUCCGGCUAACUCCGUG